UGGCGGCGAUAGCGCGGUGGUCCCACCUGACCCAUGCCGAACUCAGAAGUGAAACGCCGUAGCGCCGAUGGUAGUGUGGGGUCUCCCCAUGUGAGAGUAGGGAACUGCCAGGCA
rnacentral:rRNA from 1 species